rnacentral:rRNA from 1 species
UACGGGGGGGGCUAGCGUUGUUCGGAAUCAUUGGGCGUAAAGGGCGUGUAGGUCGGUUUGUUAAGUCAUGUGUGAAAUCCCUCGGCUCAACCGGGGAACGGACGCAUGAAACUGACAAGACUAGAGUACCAAAGAGGGGGGGUGGAAUUCCCGGUGUAGCGGUGAAAAUGCGUAGAUAUCUGGAGGAACACCGGUGGCGAAGGCGGCAUCCUGGACCAACACUGACGCUGAGUGAGCGAAAGCCAGGGGAGCAAACGGG